rnacentral:tRNA from 1 species
GAGAGAGGCCUUGAAGCAAAAGAAACUGCUAAUUUUUUUCACCGUGGCUAAACUCCACGGCUCACUCG